GGUAAAUUUCCGACAAGCCUAAGUACUUUGUGGCCCGGUGUACUCCAAGUUCGAUCGAUCUAAUAAUUAGGAGACCACUUAAUUUGCAUUCAUAAUCAUUCGCAAAAAUCAAUUUAGUUAUAUAACCCUCGCGUGGACUAAUUUGAGAAGGGUUCGUGUCAAAGCAAAAAUUAACACUAAAGAGGAAAGUGAAAGGACGCGAUACGGGCUGACUCGACCGAUGAUGAUUGCGAAUAUCGUGCUGAGAGGUAGCAGGAUGUGCAUGGGAGACAAGGAGAAGGCAUUCAAACGUAAAACAGAAUGGGGGAAGGAAAGAAUCGGCGUAGUUGUAAAGAGAACAGAAGAGAAGGAGAGCAUUCUCUAUAACGUGGCUAGCAGUUCGCGUUUGCGUUGACCCUGGAGGCUUUCGAGAAACGAAGCGCGUAAUUACACGCCCAAGGGCGAGUGCAGUUCCAAGCAACCCUCUAACUCACUCCCCAACUCCCUUCGCUGAGCGACCCUCCUCUCAUGCUCUCCACCGCUGGCCUUUCGCUCCCUAUAGUCACCCCUCCAUAUUCCGCGUCGUUCUGAAUAAACACUCGGGCGAGCUGACGGAUGGACGCGGCUCUCUGUAGGCAUAUAUGUACGUCGAUGCGUGCGUCCGUGUGCGUGAACCGUCAGCGAACACGCCGUCAGAAAAAUAACGUACUGUGGAAUCGGUCGUUUGGCAAUUUUUACCAAGUGCAACAGCAUCGUUCGGCAUCGUUGCGCCGGUAGAAAAGGUGAAAUUUAGGAAAUAAAAGGGCGGAGAAAUACGCGCGGAACCAAGCGCCGCGGGAUGCUUUAGAAUUUUAGAUUUUCUCGGUGGCUCGUUCAGGGUGUUGAACUUGUUGCAGCAGUUUUUAAUUAUUGAAAGUAACACGGGGAAGUGUGCAACGUGCAUACGGUGCAAGCGUUUUACCAGCGAAAUUGUUACAGCGUUGCUCAUUGUUUCGCCAGCCAGAAAGUACCCUUUUCCGUUUUUUAUUUGCCCGGGCUGUGGCUGCAGACGAUACGAAACAGUGUUUUUGGGUGAUCACUACGAAAGCCGGAAACGCGCUUGGUGACGGGGAAGUUAAACUAUUUGAAAAAGUGUGUCUGUUCGCUUCUUUUAACUGGCCCUCGAUCGAGCUUUGAAUAAACAGUGGAAUGGACAAACCUCUGUAUGGUUGUACGUACAUUCUAUUGAAAGUCACCAAGGCGAAAAAACAUGUUAUACACGUAAUGGACGGUCGUGAAGCGUAACUAUAAAAACUGUAAACAGUCAUUUUUAUUCCUAUUCCCAUAGUGAUACGCAUUAAAUCGACAGAAGAAUAUAUACGAAAAAGGGGGAGAAAUAACAAACGAUGAAUUAUAAGAACUUCGAUAUUUUCUGCUCGAUAUUGUUCGAUAUCAUUGAAACGUUUCAACAAUGGCAUGCUCUUUUUGUAACUUCAUUUAUCUGAACACCGUUUAUUCGAAUGAAAUUUUAGCUAGUGUGCAAUUAACUAAAUUCCUGCCUAUUGAAUCCACUUAUAUCUCAACGUGAACUCUCAUUAUUCGAAUGAGAAAUCAUAUACUAAUGGGGAAAAUCAUUACACUUUUACCAUAUGAACUGUCUGUCUGGUUCGACAAGUUGAGAACAUUGGAGCUUUACAAACCAUAAUAUAUAUAUAGUUUACUCAAUGACAUACGACACAAUGUUUCUAAUUUUCUUUUGUUCAAAAACAAUCAUUUGGAGAUAAUAUGAUAUUCAGACGCACAUGGAUAUCAUAUAAGAUAUCUCGAGAACAUUUAAACAUUUUUAGGCAUUCCAUAAAUUUUUACCGUUAACGUCUUCCGUUUAUACAAAAUGAAUUGCUACGUUUGCAAUCUUUCGAGAGAUCUGAGCCGGGGCUUGAAAUUUCUGAUCCCGACGACGAGUGAUCCUGAUGCUUUACAUUCUUCAACUUCUUCCCUCUCAGUUUCUCUGCACGUUGCAUAUUCUCCAUUGUUCCAACGAUAAAGUCAUGUCUACCGUCUGAAUACCCUUUGAAAUGAAAAAUUUUCUUUUCUUUGAUUGAAUAAUUUAUGGAGAUGUUGCAUAUAGCUAUUUCUAUAGAAAAGGAUCUAAUUAUUUCUUUGUGUUUAUUAUGUAUAUAAUGUAUAAGUAUUUAUUAUCAAUUUCUCAAUGCAAGUGACAUAUUAUUAUGUGCACUUUGUUAUCUUACAAUUCUGUAUGUUUAUACUAUUUACUGCUUGUUUCUGAAAAUAUUAUGAAAGAAACUCGUUACUAGAGAUUGUGUAUUUGCAUGAUCAACGAUUUUGUUAGCUCUUAAAAUACUGAUUGUUAUUUAUGUAUUGUAUAGAUCUUCAGUGUGAUAAAUUGCAUAGAAAUUUUAUUCUCGUAUAUACACCUUUCGCAGUUUAUCAAUAGUACUACAUAUUUCAUAAUUUUAUACUACUUUAUAAUUAUACUUUAUAAAAUAUCUCGAAUCUCCGCUUAAGUGUUACAAAUAGGUAACCUUGUUUGUGUCACAUUUUCGUAUUUUAUACUAUAUUUACUGCACAUUUAUUAUUAAUAGCAUUGUACGGUUAUUCAAUUUUUCUUAUCAAAGAACCUCACAUCGGUCUUUGCGCUACAGAGUUUUCAUCUUACUUACGGGACGUCGUUCAUCAAGAUCAGCUUAACUACUGUCUUAUCCCUUUUAUACGCAUAGAAGCAGCAACUUUAAGAAGUGAACGUCCGCAUGGCCAAUUGCGGAAAGAACAAGCUUUACCAGGAUCAAUCAAUUUCUCGAUGUGGCGUAAACGGAGUGGCUUGAGAAAAGCAACGCGGCAAAGAAGCGAAGGUAUCAUAUACCUUUCGAUAAAGGACUAAGGUACAUGUACUGACAUGGAUAAAAAUGUAUUAUUUCCUUUAUUUAUUUCCUUUUCGAUAUUUCCAUACCGAAACUAUUGUACUAGUAACAAUGUUAAACCUUUAAAGCUUAGACUCAAAUUACAUAACGUGCAUGUACUCUAAACGUGUAUUCCCCUCCCCUCUAUUAAUACAAUUAAUACUCGAUACAAUUACUAUUCGGAAUUUUAAGUAGAAAUAACGCUACUACUAUAAUAUUGUAUUACCAAUUUCGUAUCCUUAACUCAAUAAAAUUUCUAGCACGAUUACAGUUCCCGACAUGAACGAUACCCUUAUGUCGAAACUUUUACCGAAAGCGCGAAGACGAGUAUCAAAUUUUCUGCUGUUUUAACCAACGAGGAACCGAGGAAGCGCGGGAUGAAAGAAUUCUCGGCAGUUUAGCAGGGGAGGUUUCCUACGUCGAUUAGCAACGAGACAACGAGAAGGCAAAGGUUGGACGCAAACGGGAACACCGAGAACACCGACGCCAUUCGCUAUACUCUCGGACUCCUCCGUUAAUUAAUAAAGUAGCCGCGUAAACUAACAGUUUUACUGCGGAACCGACAAACUUAAUACAAGAGAAACAGCUUUUGUUCCUCCGCAGUAGUGUAACGAAGUCGCCUGUGGAAGCCAGUUCGAGUGCUCCGCCGUGAAUCGCUGAGCCUCUCCCGCCCAUUCGUCCUACUUCGAAAAUUUUUCGCCUGGUAGAAGAAAAAAAAGAGAAAGAAAGAAGACGAGGAAAGACUGAGGGUGGAGGGGAGGGAAAGAGGGAGGGAAGCCGAGUACCGAAGGAGUUUCGUUGCUACUUGAAUGCGCACUUUUUACCAAUGCGCCCGUUACC